GAUGAAGAACGUAGCGAAAUGCGACAAGUAGUGUGAAUUGCAGAAUUCAGUGAAUCAUCGAAUCUUUGAACGCACAUUGCGCCCCUUGGUAUUCCAUGGGGCAUGCCUGUUCGAGCGUCAUUUGUACCUUCAAGCUCUGCUUGGUGUUGGGUGUUUGUCUCGCCUCUGCGCGUAGACUCGCCUCAAAACAAUUGGCAGCCGGCGUAUUGAUUUCGGAGCGCAGUACAUCUCGCGCCUUGCACUCAUAACGACGACGUCCAAAAGUACAUUUUUACACUCUUGACCUCGGAUCAGGUAGGGAUACCCGCUGAACUUAAGCAUAUCAAUAAGCGGAGGA
rnacentral:misc_RNA from 1 species